rnacentral:lncRNA from 1 species
GGGAUGAUGGGAAGCCUGUUCUUGUUUAUCGGAAAACAUCUGAGCCCAUGAAUUGCCAGACCCUGGAUACCUGAGACACAUCCACUUGCUUCUCAGGUUUGGAGUGCAUAAUGAGGAGAAAUAAAAACAGAAAGAUCUCCAGAAAGAAGCCAUGGUAAGAUUCAAGGUUUCACAGUCCAAGCUAAUGCCUGUGGACACUUGACCAAGUGAUCUGAGAAAAUUGGAUUUCUGGCAAAACAAGUGUACCUAGACUCAGGCAAGGGUGGAGAACAGAGGGCGACUAGAUUAAAUGGAAAGAAUGCCCAGGCAUCCCAUUGCCUCCCUUUGACGUUCCAGAACUUCAUCAAGACAGUGAUGAGCUACAUGUACACCUGGAGGAGAGUUCAGGAUCAAGCUCAGAAGCGCACAGCUGCCAGCAAGCAGUCUACUACUGAACUGCACCAUCUCUCCAGCCUGUGCUUACUCUUGAAUAGCCCCAAAGUAGUCAAUGGUGUGGGCCCUGAAAGGAACUGUAUACCUGCUCUGCCCAUGACUGCUUCUGCCUCUACCUCAAUGUACUGUAACUGUUUAACAAGGUUGCUCUGGCUCAGGCUGAGAAAUUGACUCCACCCUUACCCUGACGCCUGGCAUGUCCACAUGUGGUCCUGUGUAGUCAGCAACCCCAGGGCUAUUUGGUACUGGACAACCAAUUGGAGUGUUGUUUGCGGGGGAGGACCACCUCUCCAGGUAGAAUCUAAACAUCAGAAAAUCAACAACCCAGUUAAAAUAAUCUAGAGCACUAACCAGAGCGUUCUCAGAAGAAGCACUACAAACGGCUAAGAAACACGAGACUGCUCAACAUCCUUUGCCAUCAGGGAAACACAGAAGCUCACUUUUCAGUUUUCAUCUUUCUGGAGUCAGAAUGGUUAUCGUCAAGAAUGCCAGUGACAUGGAUGUAGAGGACGGAUUCCUUCAUUGUCUAAGUCUCUGGAAAUAGUGCAGAAGAGUAGUCAGGGACUAAAAGAUGGAAGACAGAAAGGGCUGCAAAGUUCCAUCCUAGAGACUCAAUACAGCCAUUGCAAUGAUGAACUCACAAAAACUGCAUUUACCUGAACUUAGCCUGCUCAAGACAUUGAAAGUGUUUCAAAGUAGCUUUUCCUGUUGUGAAUGUACCUCUCAGCUAGUCUGGUUUCUGGUUCAGAGCUCUUAGGCACAGAGUUGUCUUGAACAUUUGCUUACAGGCACUUGUGUAGAUAUCAGCUGCUUUUUUUUGUUAAAUCUCUGAAAUAAAUGCCUAGGCGUUCAAUGGCAAUGUUAUAUCAGUAUGUAUUUAGCUUAGUUUUAAAAUAAGAAACUGUCAAAUACUUUUGUAGAAUUACUGGACCAUUUUACACCCCUGCCAACAAAGUAAGAUUGAUCCAGCUCCCCACAUUCUCAUAAACAUUUGUUUUUGUUUCUUUAAGAAGACAAGUUAACCAUUCCAUUUAUUGAGAAUUUACUUACCAUUCAGUGCAUUGCUUAGAUAUGUAGUAUUCAGUUUUUAGUACACAUACAAGGUUGUGUAUCGAUUACUACUAAUUCCAGAACAUUUCCAUUACCAUAGAAAAAGAAACCCAAUAUUCAUUUUCAUCUCUCCUCUAUGGACUUACCUAAUCUAGAUAUACCAAAUAAAUGGAAUUUUUAUAAAAUA